rnacentral:rRNA from 1 species
UUAAGUGACUAAGCGUAUACGGUGGAUGCCUAGGCAGUCAUAAUCUGCGUUAAGCUGUGGGGAGUUGAUAAAAAGCGUUAAUCCACAGAUUUCCGAAUGGGGGAACCCACCUUAUAAGGUAUCGUAACGUGAAUACAUAGCGUUGCGAAGCGAACCGGGAGAACUGAUCUAAGUACCCCGAGGAAAAGAAAUCAAUAUACCCUUAGUAGCGGCGAGCGAACGGGGUCUAGCCCUUAAGCAGUUUGGAAGUUAAUGGAAGAUUCUGGAAAGUUUGGUGAUAGUCCCGUACAUGAAAACGACCUUAGGACGGCACACGUGAUAUGCUGUUUGAAUAUGGGAGGACCAUCUUCCAAGGCUAAAUACUACUGACUGACCGAUAGUGAACCAGUACCGUGAGGGAGGCGAAAAGAACCCCUGUGAGGGGAGUGAAAUAGAACCUGAAACCGUAUACGUACAAGCAGUGGGAGCAGUCUGUGACUGCGUACCUUUUGUAUAAUGGGUCAACGACUUAAUUUCAGUAGCAAGGUUAAGCGAAUAGCGGAGCCGUAGGGAAACCGAGUGUUAACUGCGCGAAUAGUUGCUGGGAUUAGACCCGAAACCCGGUGAUCUAGCCAUGGGCAGGUUGAAGGUUGAGUAACAUCAACUGGAGGACCGAACCGACUAAUGUUGAAAAAUUAGCGGAUGACUUGUGGCUGGGGGUGAAAGGCCAAUCAAACCGGGAGAUAGCUGGUUCUCCUCGAAAGCUAUUUAGGUAGCGCCUCGCGUCUAACUAUUGGGGGUAGAGCACUGUUAAGGCUAGGGGGUCAUCCCGACUUACCAACCCUUUGCAAACUCCGAAUACCAAUAAGUUCAAUCGCGGGAGACACACGGCGGGUGCUAACGUCCGUCGUGGAAAGGGAAACAACCCAGACCGUCAGCUAAGGUCCCAAAGUGUAUGUUAAGUGGGAAACGAUGUGGAAAGGCUCAGACAGCCAGGAAGUUGGCUUAGAAGCAGCCAUCUUUUAAAGAAAGCGUAAUAGCUCACUGGUCGAGUCGGUCUGCGCGGAAGAUUUAACGGGGCUAAACAUACCACCGAAGCUACGGAUGCAAGACUUGUUCUUGUGGUAGAGGAGCGUUCUGUAAGCCGUUGAAGGUGAGUUGAGAAGCUUGCUGGAGGUAUCAGAAGUGCGAAUGUUGACAUAUAAUGGGGGUGAAAAACCUCCACGCCGAAAGACCAAGGGUUCUCCAACGUUAAUCGGGGCAGGGUGAGUCGACUCCUAAGGCGAGGCCGAAAGGCGUAGUCGAUGGGAAACUGGUUAAUAUUCCAGUACUCGCUUAUAUUGCGAUGGGGUGACGGAGAAGGUUAGGCUAGCAUGGCGAUUGUCCAUGUUUAAGGUAGUAGGCAAGUGACUUAGGCAAAUCCGGGUCGCUCUCUUUAGUGAGAAUGCUGAGAACUGAUGACGAGUCUCUACGGAGAUGAAGUAGUUGAUACCCGGCUUCCAGGAAAAACCUCUAAGCUUCAGAUAUGAGAGAAUCGUACCCCAAACCGACACAGGUGGUUAGGUAGAGAAUACUAAGGCGCUUGAGAGAACUCGGGUGAAGGAACUAGGCAAAAUGGUACCGUAACUUCGGGAGAAGGUACGCCAAUGGUGGUGAAGGACUUGCUCCGUAAGCUACUGUUGGUCGCAGAGAAAUGGUGGCUGCAACUGUUUAUUAAAAACACAGCACUGUGCAAAAUCGAAAGAUGACGUAUACGGUGUGACGCCUGCCCGGUGCCGGAAGGUUAAUUGAUUGGGUUAGACUUAGGUCGAAGCUCAUGAUCGAAGCCCCGGUAAACGGCGGCCGUAACUAUAACGGUCCUAAGGUAGCGAAAUUCCUUGUCGGGUAAGUUCCGACCUGCAUAAUGAUGGCCACGCUGUCUCCACCCGAGACUCAGUGAAAUUGAAAUCGCUGUUAAGAUGCAGUGUACCCGCGGCUAGACGGAAAGACCCCGUGAACCUUUACUAUAGCUUGGCACUGAACAUUGAACCUACAUGUGUAGGAUAGGUGGGAGACUAUGAAAUAUUGUCGCUAGAUGAUAUUGAGUCGUCCUUGACACCCUUGUACGUUUGAUGUUCUAACGUAGGUCCCUUAUCGGGAUUGCGGACAGUGUCUGGUGGGUAGUUUGACUGGGGCGGUCUCCUCCCAAAGAGUAACGGAGGAGCACGAAGGUUGGCUAAACAUGGUUGGACAUCAUGUGGUUAGUGCAAAGGCAUAAGCCAGCUUAACUGCGAGACAGACACGUCGAGCAGGUAUCUUAGUGAUCCGGUGGUUCUGAAUGGAAGGGCCAUCGCUCAACGGAUAAAAGGUACUCCGGGGAUAACAGGCUGAUACCGCCCAAGAGUUCAUAUCGACGGCGGUGUUUGGCACCUCGAUGUCGGCUCAUCACAUCCUGGGGCUGAAGUUGGUCCCAAGGGUAUGGCUGUUCGCCAUUUAAAGUGGUACGCGAGCUGGGUUUAGAACGUCGUGAGACAGUUCGGUCCCUAUCUGCCGUGGGCGUUUGAGAAUUGAGAGGAGCUGUAGUACGAGAGGACCGGAGUGGACGAACCACUGGUGUUCGGGUUGUUAUGCCAAUAGCAUUGCCCGGUAGCUAAGUUCGGAACUGAUAACCGCUGAAAGCAUCUAAGCGGGAAGCAGGCCUCGAGAUGAGUUCUCACUGGAGCUUUAAGCUCCCUAAAGGGCCGUUGGAGACUACAACGUUGAUAGGCAAGGUGUUAAUUACCCGUGAGGCUUAACCAUACA